GCAUCGGCAGUUCCUACUAUCUCUAAUAUUGUAACAAUGCUGGUUGUUUGCACCUCCCCUGUUGUUGUAUGCUAUAGGUUAAGGUGUUUACCAGCCUCUCUUCCCACCUCCUGUUCAAGCCAUGCUCAGUAACUAGGAAAAAUCAAAGCUGUUCCCUCUUUCUCCUCCCGGGUAGUGGAGGCUUCAAUACUGCAUUCUGAAAAUGGUGAUGUCCUUGGCAUACAUUCAAAUUAGUGUAUUUUUUCUUUGUUAUAUCUUGGCUCCAGGAGCCAAUGUGUAAUUAUAAACUUGGCAUGCUGUUUUCCAUGUUCAGUCAUCAGACUUUGCUCCACCCCAACUCAGAUGCAGAAGUCAAUAGUAGUACCAUCAUUCCUGCCUGGUUAACUGGUGACACUCGAUGUAUCAGGGUCAAAACCCAGACGGUCCUCAAAAUGGCUCUGUAUCGGGCCACAUUGUAUGCAUUUAUUAUCUAAGCCAUUGGUUAGAUAAGGAACUUACUUCCCAUGGUUUUUAAGAGGGAUAAUAAACAUGCCCGUGGUUUGCUUGAGUAAUGGUUUCUCAACCUUAUAAAUGAGUGCUUUAAUGUAAACUGUGUACACUUUAUCCAUUAGAAAGAAAAGUUAACUAGAAUUAAUUCUUUACAAUCAGCCGUCCAGAAACGUCUUUCCUGUGGUUCACCAGUCCUUGCAAGACGAUGAAAUACAUCAUCUGGCGCCGAUUCAAAUGGAUCUUUCUUGGGAUCAUAAUACUGCUGUUUGUAGUUCUGUUCCUUGGGAUCUUCUUUUAUUCAUUGCCGAACUACCUAUCCAUGAGAAUUGUGAAUCCUAUCUAAGGAGUUUACGUUUGGCCAGUCUUCCCGCAGCAGUGAUUCUGUUGUAUAACUGACACAAGAACAUUCAUGUCGUAUGUCUACAACCUCAUGGCCUCGGGUAGAAAUGGACAGAGGUUAGGAGGAUGACAAAAUCUACAUUUUACCAAGGUUAAGCAAGGUUCAUGGGGUCAUGACUGGGCCAUUUAUCAAUGAUUCCAUGUUAAUGUGCUGACCCUGGAUGACCAGGACCCUGCUGUUUUUAUCCAACAUUUAUGCAAUUGGCUGUUUGUUUAGCAGGUGCCUGUCUAGUUAUGAAAUACCAGGGGAAUUUUUCCGUGCAUUUGAAACAGCGAACUAAGCAGAAGUGUGUUUGAAUUAUGGCUAUUCAAGGUGGUUGGUUUGCUAAUCUGUUACAGCAUAGGUUUAGAACAAUGUGCAAAUAUUAAGGGACUUUUUUUAUCAAAUGUCUGAAACAAUUUAAAGAGCAAAGUGUCUCCACUCAGUUUGCAUAUAUCCUCAUUGAAUGGAAGAAACUAAUGGUUGAUGUUCUGAGGAUUAUAAAUAGUGCAGCAGUGUUGUAUUAUGUAGUCUCUUCAUGGUUUUAGUUUGAUUCACUUUUUUGCGUAAGAAUGUGGACCAAAAUCAAAUGUAACUUAAAUGCAAAGUAAAUCACUAUUAAUCAGUGUACUUCUUGUACUCUAAUAACUGCAAUGUUAGCAUCUAAUAAAUCAUUCCACCAGUGUCA